rnacentral:tRNA from 1 species
GGCGGGUUCGUCUAAUGGUAGGACACCGGGCUAUGAACCCGGAAACGAAUGGUUCGAAUCCUCUACCCGCAACCA